AUUUGUUUCCAUUUAAUCUUUAGUUAGAAACUGAUGGAUUCGUUUUAGCAAGUGAACUCUUAAAGCACCAUGCAUUUCUUCCAAAAGGUCAAAACACAAAUACCAAAACAUGAAAUAAUCAGAAAUUUGCAACGGUAUGUCCCUCCUUACCCUGAACUAUGCCCAGGUGGCUUUUGAGUAUCUCUGAGGUGGGAAGAUUCCAGAACAUCUCUAGGCAGCCUGUCGGUACUUAGUCAUUCUCACAAUAAAGACACACUUCCUGAAGUCCAGAUAGAACCUCUUGUUUGUGCCCACUGCCUAUUGUGCUGUCACUGAGCACCACUGGAAAGAGUCUCACUCCAUCCUCCCCCUUCAGAAACCAGAUUUCCUCCUUCAAGUUUCACAAAUAGCUACUGUGGGCCAACCUUGCAACAUCCACCAACACAGGAUCAAAGGAGAUAAGCAUCUGUUGAAAUAUUUACAAGCUCAACUUCCAUGCCAGAACACAAGGCCAAUCUUUAAGAAACUUCCUUCUUCUACAUGAGUAAGCAUUACAGAUCAGGAUCUUGAGACAGAAAGUGGAAAACAGGAGAAGAGACUACAGCUCCAUGCAGAAGCAUGUCCACAAUAAUAAAGUGAGAGUCCUGCACUACACAGCAGAAUCUCUCUCUGCUGACCUCAGGCAACCUCAGAGAAGAAGAAGCUGUUUCAGUCCUUCUCAGUUAAUACUUGGCUUCUUUCCAGAGACCUAUCUAAAAAAGGAUAAUUAAUGCUAAUUGCAGGGUUUUAUUUUUGUAAUGAAGUGCACAAGUCUACAUCUUUACAAAACUAGCCCCCAUUAAA